rnacentral:rRNA from 1 species
UACGGAGGGUGCAAGCGUUAUCCGGAUUCACUGGGUUUAAAGGGUGCGUAGGUGGGCAGGUAAGUCAGUGGUGAAAUCUCCGGGCUUAACCCGGAACUGCCGUUGAUACUAUUUGUCUUGAAUAUAGUGGAGGUGAGCGGAAUAUGUCAUGUAGCGGUGAAAUGCUUAGAUAUGACAUAGAACACCAAUUGCGAAGGCAGCUGGCUACAGGGAUAUUGACACUGAGGCACGAAAGCGUGGGGAUCAAACAGG